rnacentral:lncRNA from 10 species
CUUUCUGACAGGAAUCAUUCCGCCACAAGCGAACGAGCCUGGGCUGGCCUUGUGGAAGCCUAGCCGAGGCCUCAGAAUAUGGAUGAGAUCAUCUGAGACCAUCCACCCCAGGAAGCCAGCAAAGUGGCUAGAACCCGCCAUACCACCGCAGAAUCACGAUUGCUGUUCUGAGUCACUACAUUUCAGGUGACUUGUUGAGCAGCAAACGAGCUGACGAACCUAAAGUCAGAAGAUGCUAGCGGAAGAAACAGGACCCAGAACUCCAUUGGAAAAUGGGGUAUACAGACUUCGAGGAUGCCAGACAAAAAGAUCAUUUGAAAUAUUGUUGUCACUAAGCCUUCUUUGAUCAAGACACCAUGAGCUCAUGGCUAAUGGAAGCACGACAGUGAGCAAG